GCGGACCCACGGGGCCGCAUCACGACAACCGGACCUUUUGGUCCAGAGCACACGGAAGACAGAAA
ncrna:unclassified sequences L2-Alphaproteobacteria ribosomal protein leader